AGGCCAUGUCGAGUCCAGUAAGCAGCGGCACGCUCUUGAACUUCUCAAGAACCCCCACCUGGAGCAGCAGGAGUAUGGCAUGGCUGAUCCUCGUCUUCGCCUGCGUGACGGACCUGAUCCUGGCACCUUCUUUCAGCUUCUGGUUGAAUGCACCUAAGUGGGACGUGUCAACAUGCCGUGCCUGUUGCUGAAUGCUCUGAGAACCAUAGAACAUGGUGUACAUCCCCAUGCCAAACGUGAGAAGAGCAGUGCCAAUCAGAAACAUGUCUGAAGAGAAAGAUAUUUGGCCUCAAGUUAGUCAGUGGGUACAGCAGUGUGCGAACUGAAACUGACAUGUAAGGAAGGUACUUAGCGGCCAUAGGAGUGUACCUAACGCUUCAAUAAGCAACCUUAUGGUUUCACCCUGAUCUACUGUGUGAGACAUGGCGUGGAAGCGCAUGAAGAAUGACUUCAUCACAACAGCACAACCCUGCAAGCGUGUAAAAAUGUCAGCCCAGGAAGUCUUCACUCGAAUCAUUGGCUACAGGAGGCAAGGCAGGUAAAACUGAAGAAAGGGUCUCUACCUCAGCAAACAACGGGACUGAACCAACAAGGGAUCCUGCAACACCGAUCAGUGUGAAAGACUGGCAAUUGAUGAUGACCUGACGUUGUUGUCCAUAUGAACUCCGUCAGACAAGAUGAAAACCUGGUGGAUAAUUCUAUGAACUGCAAAUUCUGUUCUCUGUAGCAUGUUUUUCAAAGAAUUGUUACCUGAUGGAUCAUUCUCUCGAUGAUCUUGGGCCAGCACUGCCCUGCCAGUGCCAACUGGGCGGCUCCAAUUUUCCUCAGGAUCAUCCUCCUUGUGAUCUCAUACGCCAGGGGUAACAAGAGAUCAAUGCUCUUCAUCUCCGACUCCGACAGGAAAACCCCCUGCUUCUUCACAGGUGUGAUGCUGGCAGCUCCCAGGGUGAUCAGGGCAGCCCUCUGCUCUGCGCCGCGGCUGAUCAUGUGCGGCGGCUUCUUCGCCUCCCACAGGAACGGGAACUUCAGAGAGGGGAUACAGUAUGGGGUGGUGUUACCAGAUGUCGAAGGUGAAGGAAGAUUUCUGUCCGUUUGGAAUGCCUUGGAGGUUGCCCUGAGCAACCUGCCGCUUGCCACUGUCAUUGCCGAGCUUGGGUUAGAUGAGAAGAAGGUGUGCAACUGUGAGUCUGUGACUGUAUAUAUACGCACAUGCACGUGUGAAGAAUAAACGGGCAGUGGGGUUGAAGGGCGGAUGCCGGGUGGAACAGAAGGUUCUGAAACCGGCACUUGUGGCUGGAGUGCAUUUGUCCCGGAGCUGAACCAGCUCAACGGAAUGCAGGGAAAUCAAAGCAAUGUGCGGAUUAUCCUGAGAACAUUUUAGAAUUGGACUUUGGAGGAACCACUGCAAUUGAUGCAAUCAUGCAAAGAUGAUUUCGGCCAGCUCUUAAUCCUGAUUCUAAUUAGUGGCUCGUUCAGGAGGUACCGACGAUGCCAUAUAUUUUUUUUUUUUUGGGGGGGGGGAUGCCAUGGUGUUGGACAAGCAGCAGGAGCAAAGAUGUCUGCCCUUACAAGAAAGUUAGAAGUGUGUGCAUCAAGAGUUAAAUAUGGAGAUGAUACUUUUGAACUUUGCUGCCUUCGUUGUAAUAUGGCACAUAUCAGUUCAAAUAAAAUCUGAGGCCAGGCUAUUCCUUUA